CCUCCUGCAAAAACAAUAUAUAGGAGGUCUCACCUGCCCAGUGACAAUUUAAACGGCCGCGGGUAUUUUGACCGUGCGAAGGUAGCGCAAUCACUUGUCUCUUAAAUGAAGACCUGUAUGAAUGGUAGAACGAGGGCUUAACUGUCUCCCUUUUUAAGUCAAUGAAAUUGAUCUGCCCGUGCAGAAGCGAGCAUAAUAAUACAAGACGAGAAGACCCUUUGGAGCUUAAGGCCUCAGAUCAACUAUGUCAAGAACUUCAAUCAAAGUUAAACAAAAUAAUACCUGAUCCUAGCCUUUAGUUGGGGCGACCGUGGGAGAAAACAAAGCUCCCAUGAGGACUGGAUCUACCUCCAGAACCAAGAAAGACAUUUCUAAGUCACAGAACCUCUGACCAUAAUGAUCCGGCCACUAGCCGAUCAACGAACCUAGUUACCCUAGGGAUAACACGCAAUCCCCUUUAAGAGUCCAUAUCGACAAGGGGGUUUACGACCUCGAUGUUGGAUCAGGACAUCCUAAUGGUGCAGCCGCUAUUAAGGGUUCGUUUGUUCAACGAUUAAAGUC
rnacentral:rRNA from 1 species